rnacentral:rRNA from 1 species
GAUGAACGCUAGCGACAGGCUUAACACAUGCAAGUCGAGGGGCAGCAUAGAAGUAGCAAUACUUUGGUGGCGACCGGCGCACGGGUGAGUAACGCGUAUGCAACCUACCUAUCAGAGGAGAAUAACCCGGCGAAAGUCGGACUAAUACCGCAUAAAACAGGGGCACCGCAUGGUGAUAUUUGUUAAAGAAAUUCGCUGAUAGAUGGGCAUGCGUUCCAUUAGGUAGUUGGUGAGGUAACGGCUCACCAAGCCGACGAUGGAUAGGGGAACUGAGAGGUUGGUCCCCCACACUGGUACUGAGACACGGACCAGACUCCUACGGGAGGCAGCAGUGAGGAAUAUUGGUCAAUGGGCGAGAGCCUGAACCAGCCAAGUCGCGUGAAGAAAGAAGGAUCUAUGGUUCGUAAACUUCUUUUGCAGGGGAAUAAAGUGCAGGACGUGUCCUGUUUUGUAUGUACCCUGAGAAUAAGGAUCGGCUAACUCCGUGCCAGCCGCCGCGGUAAUAC